rnacentral:rRNA from 1 species
UACGGAGGGUGCAAGCGUUAAUCGGAAUUACUGGGCGUAAAGGGUGCGUAGGUGGUUUGGUAAGUUAUCUGUGAAAUCCCCGGGCUCAACCUGGGCAGGUCAGAUAAUACUGCUGAACUCGAGUAUGGGAGAGGGUAGUGGAAUUUCCGGUGUAGCGGUGAAAUGCGUAGAGAUCGGAAGGAACACCAGUGGCGAAGGCGGCUACCUGGCCUAAUACUGACGUUGAGGUACGAAAGCGUGGGGAGCAAACAGG